CCUUUAGCUCUACGGGAGGCAGCAGUGGGGAAUUUUGGACAAUGGGCGCAAGCCUGAUCCAGCCAUGCCGCGUGUCUGAAGAAGGCCUUCGGGUUGUAAAGGACUUUUGUCAGGGAAGAAAAGGCUGUUGCUAAUAUCGACAGCUGAUGACGGUACCUGAAGAAUAAGCACCGGCUAACUACGUGCCAGCAGCCGCGGUAAUACGUAGGGUGCGAGCGUUAAUCGGAAUUACUGGGCGUAAAGCGAGCGCAGACGGUUACUUAAGCAGGAUGUGAAAUCCCCGGGCUCAACCUGGGAACUGCGUUCUGAACUGGGUGACUAUAGUGUGUCAGAGGGAGGUAAAAUUCCACGUGUAGCAGUGAAAUGCGUAGAGAUGUGGAGGAAUACCGAUGGCGAAGGCAGCCUCCUGGGAUAACACUGACGUUCAUGCUCGAAAGCGUGGGUAGCAAACAGGAUUAGAUACCCCGGUAGUCCUAUC
rnacentral:rRNA from 1 species